UGUAGGAUAGGUGGGAGGCUUAGAAGUGUGGACGCCAGUCUGCAUGGAGCCGACCUUGAAAUACCACCCUUUAAUGUUUGAUGUUCUAACGUUGACCCGUAAUCCGGGUUGCGGACAGUGUCUGGUGGGUAGUUUGACUGGGGCGGUCUCCUCCUAAAGAGUAACGGAGGAGCACGAAGGUUGGCUAAUCCUGGUCGGACAUCAGGAGGUUAGUGCAAUGGCAUAAGCCAGCUUGACUGCGAGCGUGACGGCGCGAGCAGGUGCGAAAGCAGGUCAUAGUGAUCCGGUGGUUCUGAAUGGAAGGGCCAUCGCUCAACGGAUAAAAGGUACUCCGGGGAUAACAGGCUGAUACCGCCCAAGAGUUCAUAUCGACGGCGGUGUUUGGCACCUCGAUGUCGGCUCAUCACAUCCUGGGGCUGAAGUAGGUCCCAAGGGUAUGGCUGUUCGCCAUUUAAAGUGGUACGCGAGCUGGGUUUAGAACGUCGUGAGACAGUUCGGUCCCUAUCUGCCGUGGGCGCUGGAGAACUGAGGGGGGCUGCUCCUAGUACGAGAGGACCGGAGUGGACGCAUCACUGGUGUUCGGGUUGUCAUGCCAAUGGCACUGCCCGGUAGCUAAAUGCGGAAGAGAUAAGUGCUGAAAGCAUCUAAGCACGAAACUUGCC
rnacentral:rRNA from 1 species